CGGGCCCGGGGCUGGGCGAGCCUGCGGGGAGGUCGGGCCGGGUACCGUGCGAGCUCUGAGCCUCCCCCGGGGCCAGGCUGAGUUCCCCGUGGCCGCUCCGCGGGUGUGCCACCCCCAGAGCCGGGUCGGUCAUUCGAUCCCGGAGCCUUCUCUCUCGGGUCAUGAGGUCGGGGUGAUGCAUCCGUGGAAACUCCCGGUCCGUUACUCCGGCUCGCCCAGGGAAACGGCUUUGUGAGAUGGAAAAGUAAAGGCGAGGGACGGCCACCCGUGCAGCGCCCCGAGGUCACCAUCCAAAGCCGGGUCGGACCUCCUAGCUCCCCGGGCUGGAGGAAUGAGCCAGGGUUCGCUUUCUCAUUUCCACGGUUUAAUGGAAAGAGGUUGAAAAUUCACUGCAGAGGCCGUUUGCACUAAAAGCCGCCCCCCGGCUUCUUGUUUUGUGUACAAAUGUGUAGGGCGGAGGGAUUUCGGCUGUGUUUAUCCUUGACCUCAAAUAACCGGGUGACAGGCAAAGUGAGAGCCGCUUGCUACUGUAGGUAAGGCUCCUGUUUGCCUUCCACGGGAUGUUUUUAAUGACGUUGAGCCGACAGGAAAGGCUGCCCGGAGAACUCUGAUUUGGGGUGACCCUAUAAAAUAGGCUACCCGGAUUGGGGGUGACUCAGUAGAAUAAACAGGCAGGAGAGACUGGACAGGGAGUCAAGAGACCGGCUGAUCUCUGUAAUGUCAGUUUGAGGCCAGCCUGGUCUGCACAGUAAGUUCCAGGACAGCCAGGGCUAUGAGGCGAGAUCCCUGUCUCAAACAAGCAAAAUCUCAGCUUGGCGAUUUGAAACCCUAAAAAAAAGUAUACACAGAUUUACAUUUGUACCCACCGAUGGCUCCCAUUUUCAGAUGAGAAUUCUGUAGAAAAUUUUAGGGACUCUCCUUAGAAAGAUCAUGAGAUCACAUUGGUGAGUUGUCAGGUAACGGAACUACAGCGGUUUUAAUAACUUACUGGAAAAUUAAACCUCCAGUUUUCACAUUGACUUUUUUUUUUUAAUUUCCUUUUUGAGUAUUUCCCUUAAUGGUUUUUUUCCUCCUUCCUUUUUUUUUGGGGGGGGAGGGAGGAUAUUUAUGCUCCUUCUACCCUUUUUUAAAAAAAAAAUGUUUGUCUUGAGAAUGUGAAGUUAAAAUCCAGCAGCGUAAUUAUACCUGUUGCAAAUAUCCAAUCUUGGAUUGUGAGAGCUAUAGAGAGAGCUAUUAACCAGGAAAUGAGGCUUGUGUUAUUUUGUUAGUAUCUGGCAUAACUGCAGUAGGGUUUGAAUGCAUUUGAGAAUUAUCAGUCUUUUAUGGCCCCAGGCUUACAUCCAUAAAAACAAAAGGUAUGACUGUGUUCAAUUCUGAAGGAAAAACCAGUGCAGAUAACUAACACUAUGAAAGCAUGAGGUAAGUGAGGAGGUGAUGGGUAGAGCCCUGCAGAACAGGACAACCAAACUCCAGAAAUAUUUCAUGGGGGACAUAGAAGUGGGUGCUUGGAGACCUUGGCUGGUGUGUGGUUCUGAGAAGGGUGGACCUGCCCUUUGAGCUGGCAGAAUGAAACCAGCCAAUGGGACAGCAUAGGUUACAUAGACUAUCUGAGAAUGAUGGAGGAAACCAGCCCCCUUACACACAUAAUUAUAUGUGUAUGUGUAAGUGUGUCUCCCGACACUGGGGGGUGGUUAGAUUUUUUUUUUUCUUUAAUGUUUCUGUUUACUCCCUAUGUAGCCUAUAGUAGUUAAUUUCAAAUUUAUUUUUUAUUUUAUUUAUUUAUUUAUUUAUUUAUUUAUUUAUUUGCUUCGGGGAGUUGAGAGAAAGAUGAUAACCGAGACUUAAUCAAAGCCUGAAGACCCUAAAUGCUAACAGGCCCCUCUUCAGCUCCUGCCACUGAGUGUGUUGCCCUGGUAGUGAGCAGGUUUGUUGAGCACCUGCUGUGUGUUGGGCGUCAUGCUGCCUUGGGGUAAAGUAGGAAGCAGGGUGUGGGCUCAGUGUUAUCAAGUGGUCCAAGUUCACAGCGAGCUAGGUGACAGGGAAGGGUACUUAACUAGCUGGGCCUGAGAGCUUCUUAAAGAAUUCCUUCCCCUUGAACUGUGUGGCACUAAGUUCAUUCCUUAAGUUCCUUUAGAAAAUGCUGUGUAAAUAUGACUCUGGGUGUAGUGUAGCCUUUUAGCUAUUGUUUGAGCAGAAACUCUUGGGGUCCUUCUGUGGCCCGUGUUUUUAGUUUCUCCUCAUCCCAGUACAGAGAGCCCACCAUCAUCAGUUCCAGAGAGAGAGAGAGAGAGAGAGUUAAAAUGAAGAUGGAAAAAAAUUAGGAGAAAUCAGAUAGCAGAUUUAAAUUUCCCUCUGAGGACCUGUGUCCUCUGCAGAAAUACUUACAACUUCCCAGCCCUGCCUUUGAAAAGUCCGGGUUUCAGAAGACAGCUAAGAGAUUAGAGAGGUGAUGCUAACCUAUUGGCUGCGGUGCUUGUUUAGCUUCCUGGAUGUCCUCUCUAGUUUAUGCAGAGAUGGGGUACGCCUAAGUGACCUGGACAGGCUUCAGCCUAGACCACACCUGCUGGAGUCCUUGAACUGACAACAGAAUUGAGGGUUCAUAAAGCAGCUUACCAAGUGAAACAAGCUCCAGCGAACCUCUGGCAGGCGGAUGAGGAGCCUUCCUGUUCCCGCCCUUCUUAAUGUAGACGCCUCUGAACUUGGCCAGCCAGAACCCUGUGACGUCACUGUUCCCAGUCAAUAAAGAGCUUGGCUCUUUUCUCCCAUUUUCUUUCUCUUCCUCGUGUGUGUGUGUGUGUGUGUGUGUGUGUGUGUGUGUGUGUGUGUGUGUGUUGUGUGUGUGUGAUGAAUUUUAGUUAGUGCUCUCCUGUUGAUAAACUAGAAUGAAAUUUCAAGCCAACAGUCUUUUAAUUUUUACUCAAAAAGAAAAGCUCUUGUUCUUCAGCCACCAUGGCCUUUCCCCGUGCUGCCCAGAUUGGCGAGUUUGGCAGGUAGCAAGCUGGACCUCGGUUGUAAGUCACCAGUGUGUCUUUAGGCAGACCACUCCCCUCAGGCUCCCCAUUCAUUGAAAGAAGGUUGGAGGCACCUUCUACUUUCUCCCUAGUUCACAGUGUAGAAUAAGUGGGGAUUCUGUGUCCUAGGCACCUGGCCCAGAAAAGUAACCCAUUGUUCUGUUUCACAUAUCAGUGCCGUAAAUAUAGAAACUGCCAGAAAAUCCACACCCUGUAAAGAUGUACAUAGGGUGUACAGUAGAGUAAGAAAUGACAAGUGUGAGCCAUAAGCCUGGUAAAGUACGACCACCUCACAGUCCCUGCACUGAGCCACAGCGAGGCUAGUUGAGCUUCUGGCUUUUCCCCAGCUGUUCCCCAGUGUAAAUAUUCCCUCCUUUUUUGGACUAAGAGCUGGCAGUGAUGUGUGAAGGCCAGGGAGUAGAAGAGGCUCACUGGCUUCAGUUUUCCAUCUACUUGUGCACAAUAAAGUCUGCUAAAGAGAUACAUUUCGACGGGGCAACGCGCAUGCUCGUAGAGCAACGCCCGGAAUACAGCAAGCACCAGAACAGUUAGUUCCUGGUCUUUUGACUUCUGAAGGACGAGCAUCGUUUUCUGAGGCUCUGCUUCCCUGAGAGUAGAGCCGUCUCUGGGUUUAGGCACACAGCCCUCCCAGCCUCUCCCUGCAUUAGGCUAUGUUGCUGUGCCUGUGUGUUCGAGUCAGGUAUGUGGCUGUGUCUUAUGCUUCUGGGUGCCAGGCAGUCACAGAGUGGUCUGCACUUGUCAAGACCAGAACGAAAGAGAAGCCAGAGCCACUGUGAACCGGGGCUGUCUGUCCAUAGCCUGGUGAGCUUCUGUAAUGGUGCAUGGAGGGUUUAUAAGCGCCUCUUCUUUACAGAUGGGUUUUUAUUUCAUGUGUAUGGCUGUUCUACCAGCAUGCAUGUCUCUACACCACACAUGCACAGUGCCCUCAGAGGUUAGAAAAGGGUGUCGGGUGCCCUUGAAAUGGAGUUGCAUAUGACCCUACCAUGUGGAUUCUGGGAACCAAACCUGGAUCCUCCUUAAGAGCAGCCAGUAGUCUUAAACCACUGCACCACCUGUCCAGCCCUCUCUCACCUUCAGUUUGGCUCUAUAACAGUGUCUUUCUCUGAAAUGAUCACAAGAUUUCAUAAUUAGAAUAUUGUUUCUAGUUUUACUGGAUCCUCACAGCUUAGGGAGGAAAAGCCUGAUAAAUCCAUGAGGUUUUACCCAUAAGAUACUUUGGGGGGCGGUGGUUAGACUUGCCCCUGUGACUUUGACACAUCUCUUAUUGUAGUCUGUCACUGUCAAGGCAGGGAUAUAAUGUCCCAAAGUGGCUGACAUUGUCUAAGGUCUGUGCUGGUAUGUGCUCCAAACUGAAGGCUGUAACUGACGGAACUGUAGUGUCACAACCAUUUUAUAUGGAGACCUAUGUGAGAGCCUGGGGUGCCAUAGCUGUGUUGUUCAGUAAAGUCAGUGCCUUCUGGGGCUAGCUGCAGGUCUUGAGUUGGCAGAGAAGCAAGGUGAUCCUGUGAGUGGGCGGGGAGCAUGGCGCUGCCUGUAAUCCAAGACUUGGACCAUGAGGUUGUUUCUUUUCUUUAGACUGGAAAGGAACAGGAAGAAAGAGGAGUCAAUGUUCUCGGCUUUGUAACUUCUUAGGGCCCAGCAAAAAGAAACAAUGUUUUGGAAAUGUUUUCCCUUCUGGACUUCCUAGGCAGCAAUUCCUUCAGCUGUCACAGAGGGACCAAGAAGGAAGCAGAGCCGGGAUGCCUCUUAGUGGCAUGGUUAUGACGUUAAUAUUUGCAGAACAUUUCACAUACCCUUCCUCACCCUCCUGAUGUCUUCUGUAGCAGCCUUUAGUCGUUCACACAAGUGUGAACUUUUGAAUAGUGACUGUGCUGUUGUGUCAGCACAGUUCAUCGCGUGGUCUAGCAGUUACCCCUGCUGUUUCUAAUCGGAUGUCCCCCUACAAGAUGACAUGGCAGUGCCCCACCUGACUGGGCUGCCAUGAGCACCAGAUGCUUUGGAUGCCAGACUCCAAAUAUCUGACAGAUACAACUGUCGUUGCUACUAAAACAAGUGAAGGUUGAGCAUGAGCCACAGUAGCUCAGAGACCACACCCAUUGGUAGUAGGCAGCCUAACCAGAAUAAUCUACUUAGGGAUUACUACUCCAUGGAAGCGAUGGAAUAAGUAAUCUGUUACCAUAGUGAUCUCUGAGAUGUUUACAGCCUGUCCUUUGCAGAAUUGUGGACCAAGUAAAAUGUGUCUAUACGCGUGUGCACACACAUUUAUAUCCGUCACUCCCGUUCCACAGCUGCCUUCUCUGCCUCUUGUCUUUAAAAAAAAAGAAAAACUACUGAUGAUGAGUCCUGAAUAUUCAUAAUUUUUCCUAAAUUACUCUAUUACUCUACAGCAUUUAAUAGAGAAGAGAGGCCCACUGUCAGUCACGGUCAGAGUCAAUCGAGUUGCUGCUGUGUGCUGGGCAGUAAGCCAAGGAUGCUAGGUCUUAGGAGGAUGCACAGCCCAUGGGUGAGGCCAGCAAAGAAAGAGUGCAGGACCAGGACCUGGGGUGGGAGCAGGGUAGAUGGGGUCAGGGAAGGUUCCGUGGGAAAUGUAGGAUUUAAAAGGUUUCUGGGCAGACAAGAAGGUUCUCCAAGAGCUCAUGGCAGAGGAAGGUAGUGUGUUGCCAAGUGUGUGAUGUGCUAAUGUGGGUCCGUGUGACCCAGCUUUGGGGGCAGGGACUGUCCCCAUUAACCCGCAGGGUACGGAAGGCUGGCUGCUCGCUUGCCUGUUCGUCAGGACGCCUCUAAGAAGCUGGGUUUUCAGCAGACCUGCAGACAGACGUGAAGGUGACACCCCCUUCAUCCCUGUGUAGCUCUCACUCCUGUCUGUGCUGGCUGUGGUUCAAAUAGUUGAGACUGUUGAUGGCUUGCUGUCAUUAUUAGGGACCAUUGCCAUUUCUGUGGGAGGCAGAUGCUGCAGAUGGAGUCAUUUUUUGUUUGUUUUGUUUUGCUUUUCCAGACAGGGUCUUUCUGUGUAGCUUUGGUGCCUGUCCUGGGACUCUCUCUGUAGACCAGGCUGGCCUUGAACUCACAGAGAUCCACCUGCCUCUGCCUCCCAAGUGCUGGGAUGAAAGGCAUGAGCAACCACACCUGGCAGCAUGGAGUUAUUUUAUACUUGUUAGGCGACAUUUUUAGACAUGCUCAGUGAUAUAUUAAUACAAAGAUAUGCGUCCAAGUCAUAAAUUGAAUUAAGUUUCCAGUGUUUACAAGCUCCUGGAGCUGUUAGAUACAAUAUAGGCUAUUUUAUUUAAGAGAGGGGACAAGUUUUAUGAGCCAUCAUUUAUAGACUUGAUUUUUUUUAAGAUUUGUUUAUUUUAGGCAUAUGAGUGUUUUUGCCCAUAGACAUGUAUGUACACACAGUACCUGCUGCAGAAAGAGGAACUGGGGUUACAGGCUGCCAUGUGUGUGCUGGAAUCGAACCCAUGUCCUCUGCAGGAGCAGGGCCAGCCCUCCAGCCACUUCACAGCUGUAGAAUUGUUCUGCUCCGGUUACUGAAGCUGUUGAAGUUGCUGUGCUCAUUGGUACUGGCUUCUCCUCACGGGAUGAGCAGAUUCUUUGUCCAGUUUCAUAACCUUUUAAAUAAAUCACUGACCUUA